rfam:Salmo salar isolate Sally breed double haploid chromosome ssa04, whole genome shotgun sequence.
GAUGAGGUGGCCGAGUGGUUAAGGCGAUGGACUGCUAAUCCAUUGUGCUCUGCAUGCAUGUGUUCGAAUCCCAUCCUCAUUG